UUUCUUUGUACAGUUCUUUGGACUCUUUUAAAAGAGCUAUUGAAUGGAGCUGUCUGCUGGCUGGUGAGAUUGAUUGUUUGAACUGUGCCCCCCCUUCAAUAGCCCACCUCUGAUUAAGGGAGUCAGGUAUCUUGGUGCUGGCUGACAGUAUAACUCUUUAAGAUUUUUUUUUUCCAGGUCAGUUCCUGCCUGGUUUAUGUUGCCUCAGGACAGAAAAGCAGGCGUGAAGCUGGUCUUUAAAGAGGCAGCGGAGAAUUCCCCUAUCCGAAGAGACUCCCUAGUGAUGCCCAGAAUCUGGCCCCAAGACUGCACGACUGAGAAAGCAGUAGGCUCUGCAU